UACGUAGGGUGCAAGCGUUAAUCGGAAUUACUGGGCGUAAAGCGUGCGCAGGCGGUUAUGUAAGACAGAUGUGAAAUGCCCGGGCUCAACCUGGGAACUGCAUUUGUGACUGCAUGGCUAGAGUGUGUCAGAGGGGGGUAGAAUUCCACGUGUAGCAGUGAAAUGCGUAGAGAUGUGGAGGAACACCGAUGGCGAAGGCAGCCCCCUGGGCUAACACUGACGCUCAUGCACGAAAGCGUGGGGAGCAAACAGG
rnacentral:rRNA from 1 species